CGUCCUUUCUCCGACCGCCGCGCUCCGGGUGGGUUGUGCUGUAGGGAGCUCCCCUGCUGCCACCCACGUCCGUCCUCCACUCCCCCACCCUUCGCUCUUAGUCCCGUCGCCUGCGGCCCCGCACUCACCUGCGCUGCCCCCCGAGGCUGCAGGAUGUUCAGUGCGGACUGGAGGAGCCGGGCCUUCCCGCCUGCUCGGCCGGGGUCCCUCAGGGCACGUAGGCCGCAUGCGCAGGGAGAGGGGCCGAGGCCCGUGCAAGACGCCCCCUUCUCCCGCCGGAGUCCGCGCGGCUCUGCGCCCCGGUGUGACAGCUGUGCCAGAUGAAGAUUGCAGGAUGGUUCGAGUUGAUUCUGCUGGGUGAGCACUCUGGAGCCAUGACAGUGAUGGACACAACCACUGCAGGACCUGAUUGCCUCCAUGUUUCCUGGCAGCGUCUGAUAAUGACAUAGCUGAGGAUACCAGCUUGUUGCUGCUCCUAUGUUUUAGAAUAAGAUCUGUAACCAGUAAGCUGUCUUCAUUUAUAAUUAAGGAUCUACAGAACUGGGAGAGCUCUACAGUAAGGCAAGCUACAAGACAAGUUUGAGACUGUUCUGCUUAAAAUCUCCUGGCUCCUCCACGCUCCAAGGCCUGCUGGUUUUUGAAAUAGGCCUUUCUUUGCCCACCCCUUAUUGUGGGGCUGGUUCCUUAUCCACCCUGCCCUGCAGCAUGGAUUGUCUUGUGCGCUACAUUCCCUUAAUAAAUUCUUGAUGUAAUGAA